ACUUCCCUUAACUCUAGCGGUUAUAGGUUCAUUCUUAUGGAGAAAAACAAAAGAAGUGUGGGAAGAUACAUUAACAAAAUUAAAGAAAGUGCCUAAUACUACGGUACAAGAAAAGUUGAUGAUAACUUACAAAGCAUUAGAUGAUGAGGACCAACAGAUAUUUUUGGAUAUUGCGUGUUUUUUUAUUGGAUCAUCUAAACAAAGUCCAUCUUAUAUGUGGGAUGCUUGUGGUUUUUUGCCAAGGAAAGGGAUUGAAGUGUUAAGUAUUAUGUCCCUAAUUAAAAUUGACAAAGAUAGCAAGCUAAUGAUGCAUAAUCAACUGAGAGAUCUUGGAAGGGAAAUUGUUCAUCAAGAAAAUAAAACGAAGCCUCAAAAGCGUAGCAGAUUAUGGAUUUGUGAGGAUGCUGUAGAUGUGCUUGAUGGAAACAAGGGUACAAGUAACAUUGAGGCCCUUUGUCUUGAGAAAAAUGACCGCACAAGAAGCUACACAAGUGAACAAUUUAAAAAAUUAACUAACUUGAGGUUCCUUCAAGUGAAGGCUGCAAAUCUUGCUGGAGAUUUUCAAGGCUUGCUUCCUAAAUUAAGAUGGCUUCAGUGGAAGGACUGUCCCUCAGAUUUUGCAGCAGCCAACUUUUAUUUGAACAAAUUAGUUGUGCUCGAUCUAUCAUGGAGUGAGAUUUCAGAGGAUUGGGGAGGAUGGGGUCCACUUAAGAUGGCAGCCGAGCUCAAAGUUCUCAACCUCUCUGGUCAUUCUUUGAGAAGAACUCCCAACUUGUCUAGUUUUAAAGGUUUGGAGAUUUUGAUUCUUGAAGAUUGUGAGAAUCUAAUAAAUAUUCAUCCUUCGUCGCGGACAUCAAGAGCCUCAUCUCCUUGAUUAUAAGGAGAUGUUGGAGACUAGAGGAGUUACCAACUGAAGUAGGUAGGAUGGAAGGAUUAAAGGAGCUUCUCAUAAAUGACACUGCUAUAAAAGAGCUUCCUAUUUUGAGGCGUUGUUUGAAGCUAGAGAGUCUAUGUGCCUCGUCUUGUGAGUAUCUUACUCAAUUUCCAGAAUCCAUGGACUCCCUUAUGUUUUUAACUCAGCUAGACCUAUCUCAUUCGCGAAUCAAACAAUUACCUGAAUCCAUGGGCUCCCUUUUGUCGUUAACUCAGCUAGACCUAUCUCAUUCACGAAUCGAAGAAUUACCCGAAUCCAUGGGCUCCCUUGUGUCAUUAACUCAGUUGAACCUAUCUUAUUCACUAAUUGAAGAAUUACCUGAAUCAUUAGGCUCCCUUGUGUUGUUAGCUCAGCUUGACCUAUCUCAUUCACAGAUUCAAGAAUUACCUAUAUCCAUUGGCUCUCUGAAGGAGCUCAAGACUCUUGAUGCCUCUAAUUGUAAAUUGUUAGAGUACAUACCCUGCUCCAUAGGCCAUCUAGCAUCUUUACAACGUCUGUUGUUACAGAAAUGCGAUCCUUUGAGUGAGAUCCCGGACUCAAUUGGAAUGCUGACAUCAUUAAUUGAGUUGGAUUUAAAAUUUACAAUGAUUGCAAAAUUACCUGAAAGCAUUAGUUCUUUGAAGGAGCUUAGGACUCUUGAUGCCUCUUAUUGCACAUUGUUAACCCACCUACCCAACUCCAUUGGCCAUCUUGAAUCUCUAUCUUUCCUUGACCUGAGAUUUUGUCGAAAACUUGCUCAACUUCCGAACACUAUAGGCUCCCUUGCGUCUCUACAGCGCUUAUUAUUAGAAGAAUGUCGCUCAUUGAGAGAGAUUCCAAACUCAAUCGGAAAGUUGGCAUGGCUGACUGAGCUGAAUUUAAAACAUACAGCAAUUGUGGAAUUACCAGAAAGCAUUGGUUCUUUGAAGGCACUUAAGACUCUGAAUGCCUCUUAUUGUGCAUCGUUAGCUCACAUUCCCAGCUCCAUAGGUGAUCUAGCAUCUCUAUCUACCCUUGACCUAAGAUUUUGUCAAAAACUUGCUCAACUUCCAGAUUCAAUAGGCUCCCUCAUGUCUCUACAGCGAUUGCUAUUACGAAAAUGCCGCUCAUUGAGAAAGAUCUCUAACUCAAUCGGAAAGUUGGCAUCAUUAAGUGAGUUGGAUUUGAGAUGUACAGGGAUUAUUGAAUUACCUGAAAGCAUUGAUUCUCUGAAGAAGCUCGAGACUCUUGAUGCCUCUUAUUGUGCAUCAUUAGCCCACAUACCCAAUUCCAUAGGCCAUCUAACAUCUUUAUCUCUCCUUGACCUAAGAAAAUGCCCUAAACUUUCUCAACUUCCAGAAUCCAUAGGCUCCCUCGUGUCUUUGCAACGCUUAUUAUUAUGGGAAUGUUGCUCGUUGAGAGUAAUUCCUGAUUCAAUUGGAAAGUUGACAUCAUUGAUUGAGUUGGAUUUAAAAUCUACAAUGGUUGCGGAAUUACCUAAAAGCAUUGGGAAUCUUCAGAAGUUGAAGAAUUUGAACAUUCAGGGAACUCACAUAGCAGAAUUGCCCAAUGCCCGAAUGCGGCAAAUUGCCAAAAUCUAAUUGAAAUUCAUGGUCUUUAUAGGUUGGAAUUAUUGACAAGAUUGGAUAUCUCUGGGUGCAAAUCUAUCGAAAGAUUACCAGACCUUCCAGUUCAAAAAUUCAAGGGAAUUUCUUGAAGUUCGAGGCCAACUGGUAAGAAACUUUGGAAAGGUUCUCAAUGCUUGUCCAUAGAAGGAUUACCAGACCUUUCUAGCUCAAAAGGUCUAAGGGAAUUUUAUGCUGCAAAAUUACCGAGAUCUAGUUGAAAUUCAUGGCCUCGACAGGUUGGAUUUAUUGGUAAGGUUAGAUAUUUCUGGGUGCACAUAUAUCAUAAGAUUACUGGAACUUUCUACUUUAAAGAAUUUGAGGGCAUUUCGUGCUACAAACCGCAAGAGUCUUGAAAUUCGUAGCCUUGACGGUCUCGAAUUAUUGGUAAUAUUGGAUAUCUGUGGGUGGACUUUGCUAGGAAAAUUAUCGUGCUCGAAAUCCCUGAUGCGGUUGAACAUCAACAGCUGUGAGAACCUGGACGUUCAAAGCCUGGAGAAAUUUUCAUCCUGCAAAAGUUGGUGUAUUCAGGGAUGCAAGUCGUUAGCAAAAUUUCUAGAUGUGUUGAAAUUUGAAGAUUCAAGGAACUUGAUGGUGACAGAUCGCGGGAAACUUUCAGACAUUCCAGGGCUCAAAUGAUCAAGAUACCUAGAAAGUACAGAAAUUUCAAGAUGCUCAUCAAUUGAGACUUUACCAGAUUUAUCAGAGUAUCAGAAUUUGCAAUAUUUGGUCGCACGAGAUUGUGACAAACGAACUGAGCCUCGUGGGAUUGGCAACGUGGAGCUCAUAAACGCUUUAGAUAUCUCCAAAUACAAGUCGCUGAAAGCAAUACCUGAAUUGUCUGGAGCUUUUCUCAUACAAAAUUAUGGGCUGUUGUUUCGCCAGGGUGUUCAUGAGGUCAUUCUGGUGAUACUUGAUACCGAGACAAUCCAUGUCCCUUAAAAAGGCAAAAUCUUAGUCUUGAUAUUGGCAGGAAUGAAGCUGGCAGUCCUGGUGUAUCAUCUGUCAUCUAACACGUGUUUGUUUCAUUUACACGGUGACUCAAACUUUUAUAUCUGAUUCUUAUCCAUAAUAUUGAUACGGAGGAAAUUACAAGACGUUGGAAGAACAAGCAGCUCUGUAAGAAAAUCCCUUUGACCAUAGUCAUCUCAGUUUAUUAAGAUGAGCGAUCCUACACUCAGGAAUGACAUGAAUUUCCUUUCUUUUCCCGAUUACUUGAAUUGGUUUUUUUUUUAUUGUUCUGCGAUACUUCAGCUGCAAUUCUCUCUUUGGUCUUUUCUCAUGUGACUGUUCAAAGGAUCUUAAUGAUUAAUAUGUGGAUUAUCAAGGAAGUUCUGGAGGCAAAGUACAAAAACACAGGCAAAGGAGAGAGAUCAAUACAGCUGGAUUUAUGGCGCUCUCAAUCCCCAAAAUCCGCUUAGCUCUUUCAAGCUCCAAGGGACUAGCAAUGCGACAGCGAGAGAGGAAGCAUCACUUCCAGGUGGUGGCGGAGAUGUGGUGGGGCAGGUGGUUGGGGCUGGUAGUGACAGGGAUCCUGCAGGACUAGAGGCUGGGCUGUGGAAUUUAACUGAUGGUGACCACCAAUUUUGGCCGUGGGAGCAAUGGCUGCCAUUAGCAAAGGUGUAGAUGUGAGUAAUACUCGCCAAAUAUGGCGAACGGAAAAGGUGGCAGGUUCGUUGG